CCUCACGCUCCUGCCUGGUCACCACCGAGCAUCAGGGUGGUCCGGACAGCGUGAGGGCAGCAGCUGAGCCCACGACUGAGCGAAUAGCAACUCUCAAGCCUGCUCCGAUCCGCACCUUCUCCGUCCAGCCGAGGGAGGGCAGGGUUUGUGCGAGAUCAUCAGUGCAGCGUCUGUCUAACACCAGAGUCGGGGACAGCAGAGUCACCGCAACCCCUGGGAGCUGGCUGCUGUAGAGUAAGCACCUCAGGCACCGCCGGAGAGAAGAGGCAGAGGGGCAGCUCUGUGCAGCCAGACCCCUGUUGUGUUCAGGAGCAUUAUACCCUGGAAACAUUUCAUCUUUAUGCAUUACUGUAAACUCCGCGUUCAUGUCCCCAGUUGUAUUAGCAAAUCAGAAGCUGAAAAUACAGGUAAACACAAAUGCCGUGUCAGUGCUUGUCAAGCACGCUGAGAGGGCCGGAGUAACAAGACAUCUAUCUCAGCAGCAGCCUCACCCUGUCUCCUCCCAGCAGCACCUGCAGUGGAGUCUCUGCUCCUCUGGGCGGUGUCCAGGGACAAACAAGCCCAGCCUUCCACCCCGAGCUCACGGCCCAGCCCCGUGGUUGAAACUGGCUACU